rnacentral:rRNA from 1 species
UGCGCAGGCGGUUCGUCGCGUCCGGUGUGAAAGUCCAUCGCUUAACGGUGGAUCCGCGCCGGGUACGGGCGGGCUUGAGUGCGGUAGGGGAGACUGGAAUUCCCGGUGUAACGGUGGAAUGUGUAGAUAUCGGGAAGAACACCAAUGGCGAAGGCAGGUCUCUGGGCCGUUACUGACGCUGAGGAGCGAAAGCGUGGGGAGCGAACA